GCUAAGGCCGUGGAAGCAGCCGUGGUAGGACGUAGGAUGCAAGCGUUGUCCGGAUGCAUGGGGAGUAAAGAGUUCGUAGGCGGGUUAUUAAGUCUGGUGUUAAAGAUCAGGGCCCAACCCUGGGAGUGCAUUGGAUACUGGUAGACUGGAGUGCAGUAGAGGCGAGUGGAAUUCCCAGUGUAGCGGUGAAAUGCGUAGAUAUUGGGAAGAACACCGGUGGCGCAGGCGACUCGCUGGGCUGUAACUGACGCUGAGGAACGAAAGCUAGGGGAGCAAAUGGGAUUAGAUACCCGGGUAGUC
rnacentral:rRNA from 1 species